rnacentral:rRNA from 1 species
GCCUACGGGGCGCAGCAGUGAGGAAUAUUGGUCAAUGGGCGAGAGCCUGAACCAGCCAAGUCGCGUGAGGGAAGACGGCCCUACGGGUUGUAAACCUCUUUUGUCAGGGAGCAAGAACGGAUACGUGUAUCCGAGCGAGAGUACCUGAAGAAAAAGCAUCGGCUAACUCCGUGCCAGCAGCCGCGGUAAUACGGAGGAUGCGAGCGUUAUCCGGAUUUAUUGGGUUUAAAGGGUGCGUAGGCGGCAUUAUAAGUUAGUGGUAAAAUAUUGGGGCUUCACCUCACUACGCCAUUAAUACUGUAGAG